CCUACGGGAGGCAGCAGUGUGGAAUAUUGGACAAUGGGCGAAAGCCUGAUCCAGCAAUGCCGCGUGAGUGAUGAAGGCCUUAGGGUUGUAAAGCUCUUUUACCAGGGAUGAUAAUGACAGUACCUGGAGAAUAAGCUCCGGCUAACUCCGUGCCAGCAGCCGCGGUAAU
rnacentral:rRNA from 1 species